rnacentral:lncRNA from 10 species
CCUCACUUCGCCAUGUUACUCCUUCACAGGAUCCGACCCUAGGGAAGAGCUCAAUAGCUGUUUGUUGCAUGGAUGAUGAUGAGUGGUAAAACCAGUCCAGUGCCUGGAAAAGGAGUAUGGGAGCUAAAAAGGAAUCUAAGAAGGAAGCAGACAUCAUCAAUAAGAGAGGUCUUACAACAUUCAGAGAUUGGCCCUCUGAGGAAAGAAAUUGC